GACGAACCGUCCUAACGUUGUUCGGAAUCACUGGGCGUAAAGGGUGCGUAGGCGGGUCUUUUAAGUCAGGGGUGAAAUCCUGGAGCUCAACUCCAGAACUGCCUUUGAUACUGAAGAUCUUGAGUCCGGGAGAGGUGAGUGGAACUGCGAGUGUAGAGGUGAAAUUCGUAGAUAUUCGCAAGAACACCAGUGGCGAAGGCGGCUCACUGGCCCGAUACUGACGCUGAGGCACGAAAGCGUGGGGAGCAAACAGGG
rnacentral:rRNA from 1 species